UACGUAGGGACCAAGCGUUGUUCGGAUUUACUGGGCGUAAAGGGCGCGUAGGCGGCAAUUCAAGUCAGCUGUGAAAUCUCCGGGCUUAACUCGGAACGGUCAGCUGAUACUGCUUUGCUAGAGUGCAGAAGGGGCAAUCGGAAUUCUUGGUGUAGCGGUGAAAUGCGUAGAUAUCAAGAGGAACACCGGUGGCGAAGGCGGAUCUCUGGGCCUUGCCUGACGCUGAGGCGCGAAAGCUAGGGGAGCGAACAGG
rnacentral:rRNA from 1 species